rnacentral:rRNA from 1 species
UACGUAGGGUGCAAGCGUUAUCCGGAAUCACUGGGCGUAAAGCGUGCGUAGGCGGAAGUUUAAGUGCAAUGUUAAAUCGUGUGGCUCAACCAUAUCGAUGCAUCGCAUACUGGGCUUCUAGAGGACGGCAGAGGCAAGUGGAAUUGGUAGUGUAGCAGUGAAAUGCGUAGAUAUUACCAGGAACACCAAUGGCGAAGGCAGCUUGCUGGGCCGCCCCUGACGCUGAGGCACGAAAGCGUGGGUAGCGAACAGG